rnacentral:rRNA from 1 species
CCUACGGGCGGCAGCAGUGGGGAAUAUUGGACAAUGGGGGGAACCCUGAUCCAGCCAUGCCGCGUGUGUGAAGAAGGCCCUCGGGUGGUAAAGCACUUUCAGGGAGGAAGAACGCCUGGUGGUUAAUACCCAUCAGGAAAGACAUCACUCACAGAAGAAGCACCGGCUAACUCCGUGCCAGCAGCCGCGGUAAUACGGAGGGUGCGAGCGUUAAUCGGAAUUACUGGGCGUAAAGCGCGCGUAGGUGGCUUGAUAAGCCGGUUGUGAAAGCCCCGGGCUCAACCUGGGAACGGCAUCCGGAACUGUCAAGCUAGAGUGCAGGAGAGGAAGGUAGAAUUCCCGGUGUAGCGGUGAAAUGCGUAGAGAUCGUGAGGAAUACCAGUGGCGAAGGCGGCCUUCUGGACUGACACUGACACUGAGGUGCGAAAGCGUGGGUAGCAAACAGGAUUAGAUACCCUAGUAGUC